GCUGGGCACGGUGGUGCACGCCUGUAAUCCUAGCAGCUUGGGAGGCUGAGGCAGGAGGAUCAUGAGUUCAAAGCCAGCCUCAGCAACUUAGUGAGGCCUUAAGCAACUCAGCAAGUCCCUGUCUCUA
rnacentral:sRNA from 1 species